rnacentral:rRNA from 1 species
CCUACGGGGGGCAGCAGUAGGGAAUUUUCGUCAAUGGGCGCAAGCCUGAACGAGCAAUGCCGCGUGAACGAGGAAGGUCUUCGGAUCGUAAAGUUCUGUUGAAGGGGAAAAAGAGCGGAGAGAGGAAAUGAACUCCGAUUGAUAUUACCCUUCGAGGAAGUCACGGCGAACUACGUGCCAGCAGCCGCGGUAAAACGUAGGUGGCGAGCGUUAUCCGGAAUGAUUGGGCGUAAAGGGUGCGUAGGCGGCCUGCUAAGUCUGGAGUGAAAGGUACCGGCUCAACCGGUACAGGUUCUGGAAACUGGCGGGCUAGAGAGCAGGAGAGGGCGGUGGAACUCCAUGUGUAGCGGUAAAAUGCGUAGAUAUAUGGAAGAACACCAGUGGCGAAGGCGGCCGCCUGGCCUGUUGACUGACGCUGAGGCACGAAAGCGUGGGGAGCAAAUAGGAUUAGAUACCCCAGUAGUC